UAAUUGAAGAGUUUGAUCAUGGCUCAGAUUGAACGCUGGCGGCAGGCCUAACACAUGCAAGUCGAGCGGUAGCACAAGAGAGCUUGCUC
rnacentral:rRNA from 1 species